GUUUUAAAACUAUUUUGUCCUCAGAUUUGAUCAUCACAGUAUCUGUUGCAGGAUUUUUACUUCUGUGCUUGUUCAUCUUCAUUAUCGCUUACUUUGUACGGCAAGCUACGUCUGAAAAAUACAAGCCAAAGCGAAUACCUCCAGCAAAUACUACAACAAACAAUUCGACAACAACGCCAGGUCCAGAGAACGGACACUUUAACCCAUUCCCAACCAAUGCAGCUGCAGUAAAAAAUUCAGUUCCAGCAACAGCUCAGAAAACUAGAUACAUCCAGAAGGAGCACGAGAAACGUGCAGGGGCGUCGCCAAAUAGACAUUAAAAUGCUUCCAUGACACAAGUUUAUGUUUUAAAUACUGAAGAAAGAAAAAGUUGUGUAAAUAGUUUAUUUAUUAAAUUGUUUUAUCUCAGUAACGGUACAGUGAUUGUGGUGUUUUGAUAUGUAGAUAUUUAGUCAAUUUUUGUUUUUAAUGAUAAAUGUUAGUAUCACAAAAAGUUAUAACCACAGACUUCUAAUAUUUGUUGGAAUGUAUGGGUCGAAGGUUAUUAGGUCCUUGGUCUAACACCGUGAUUCAUGUCUUUUAAACUGAUGUGCAACAAGUUUAAAUUCCGGAGAUAACUCUAAUGGAUACCUGAUGUACAUACCAUGCAUGUGCUGGCCACAUAAACCGUCGGACAAAGAAACAGAUAAACUUCAAAUCGCAAAGUCUGAAUGCAAUAAUUAAACUCGCUUUGUCAUUAGCUAAUGAAGGUUCUUAAUGUAAAGCUUGAUGUAUUUGUAGUAUUGGCCCUAAAUAGAACAGCAGCACACAUACUUAGAAGGGGUGGGGGCUAAAUGACAAUCUUAGUGACCACUUCCACCUUCACAUUCGUCUGUCCCUUGAUGAGCCACACGUGAUCCGCCAGCCAUCUUUCUCCAUUCCUCUAUCUUUUGCCUUGGAUAGAAUUUUUUUUCAAUGACAGGGCCGUCCAUUCUUUGAUGUCUUUCCAUCGCUGUCUUCCUCUUCUUAUUUUCCUGGUAUUGUUCCAUGAAGGAAGUCUAUGCGAUCUAAGAGUUUUUGGUG
rnacentral:sRNA from 1 species